UAAUAAACUUCUAUUUGUUUUUCUCUUGUUAAUCUGUCUUUUGCUACAGGGAUCCAUUUCAACUAAAAACUGUAGGAGUCAAAGAAAAAAUUAUUCAUCCCCACAUAUCUAAAAGAGUCUCCACAACUCCUACUGGGCCACUCAAGUGUCCCUUGAGUCCAGUGUUGGUCUCUGCUGUUAUAUAUACAAAGAAACACCGUACUUGGCCAUAAAGAGUACUCUGCCAUCUUUGACUCAGGAAAGGCUCUCACUCAGCCUAGAGAAUGAAACCUGGGAGACGGAGGCGGCUGGCACCUCUGCGAUUCAACGUGCAGGACAAAUGAAGCAGCUGAAUCCCACACCCUGAUUUAUUAACUGGGCAGUGAGCUUGAGAGAGGCUGAACCAGUUUGCAGUCCCACCCGCCAUGUAGGAGUAGAACCAGCCCUAUUCUUGAGUGCUGUGUCCUCCUGCUCUUUGGCAUGUUUCACGGACAGUUUGUCUUGCCAUUUCAAGUGCUGGCAUUUUGUUCACUAAAGUGAGGACCGGAAUAAAGGUGAGUUUCACAGCUCUCGAACCUUCCUUGGGAAGAAUAGUUUUGUUCUCUGUUGGAACUUA
rnacentral:lncRNA from 1 species